AUGAUGUCACCACACGUAGACGCGAGAAGGGGCGGGCCGUUGCUCAGUGCCGUCCCAGCAGCCAAUCAGCAGCAGAGCAGGUGUUGCGCACCUGCGGGGGGUGUGGCCUGGCCCGGGAGGGGGCGGGGCCGCGGCGCUCCAGCUGCAGGUCCGGACGCCUGCGCUCCACGCCUGGCCCUGAGGAUGAAGGACGGUUUGGGCAGCUCUGGACAGAGGAGCGUGAGCUUCUCCGCCUGUGACAUGGGCACGGCCCCUCUGCUGUCUUCCUCGUGGAGUAGCUGUGAGGAUCAGCUACAAGGAAGUGCUGGAAUGGGCUAUGUUCCUCUGGCUCCACACCAGUUGUUCUCUCUGCUCUUUCCCCACUUCCUCACCUGGGAAAAUUCAGCCCAGGUGUCCUCUCCUCUGGCAUUCUCCGUUGGCCUCUUCUAUGUUUAUCCAAAUGCCUCCCCACCAUUGCCUCAUGGACUGCGGUAGUGGCUUCAGUCACAGACUCUGGAGUCUGACCACCCGGUCAAGUCCCAGCUCUGCUCUUCCAUCACCGUGUGACCCUGGGCAAGUCACCUGACUUGGUUUUCCCUGCUGUAAAACAGAACUAAAAGCAGUAGCUAGCUCAUUUACAUCAUCUUGUGUGCAACUCCUCAUGCCAUGCUUGGCACAUAGUAAGCGCCCAAGUAGGGGGAGCUAUUUUGCUUAUCUGUCCCAUAAUUAUUGGUUUCUAGACUCCUCCACUAACCGCAAGCUUUUCAAGGGCAGGCACGGUCUUCAUUCAUCUGUAUUUUUUCUCCACGAUGUCUGGUACAGAAGCAGGCACACAGCGGCUGCUCAAUAGCAGCCAAACACAUGAAUGGAAAUCCAGUCCCACAUUGGCUGGGAGGGUCCUUCCACAGCACGAGUGAACACCCAGCACUGUGUGAGUGAGUUUCCCUUGCAUGUCACUCUUCUCCCUUGAACCAGAUGGUAAGUUCUUGGGGAUAAGGGAAGCAAGGCCGUCCUUUCCUUUGGCAGCGGUGCCAGUCACUGAGCCUGGUACACCAGGGCCCUGGUGGGGGGGCCUGAAAGGUGACUCUGGGGGUGCUGUCCGCGGUGCUGAAGAGAACUGACAAGUGACUAAUUCUUCUGCCUGAGAUGGAUGCUGGGAUUUGCUUCAGGGCAGCCAGGAAUGGAUUGUUCAUCUCCAAAUCUCAGCCAGCACAUUUUGUUCUGACAUUUCCUUGGCACCUUUGCCAAUGACGUGAUGUUUCCCGUGCGGCUCUUUCCCCUGCCUUCCAAAUUCCUUGGAGAACUGUCAUGAUGUUCCCCACCAUCCUCUCCCACAGCUGUAGGCACCUCCAAACUUGGAUGCAUCACCCAGAGACCCAUAUUAAAAGAGACUGAAAUGUGACUUUUCUUUGAUAGCAAAAUUUUAGAAUUUCAGUGGAUGUGCAAGGGAACUGAGGCUUAGCCCGGUGAGGGGGAUUUGUUUAAGGUCACAUCGUCAAGAAGGGAGAGAACUCAGGAUGGACAGGAAUCUUCAAAUUCACAAGCUUUUGAUAUGUUAUGAUGCCAGGAUGCUAUAGGCAGACAUAUGGGGUCGCCCACAGGAUGGAGGUCAGAGUGUUUCUAUUUAGCUGAAGGAGAUGUCUUUGGUUUAAGCUGAAGGAAACCAAAUCCCCUGGCCCCACCUUCAACCCAUUGACCUCCCAACCGCCCUGCAAGGGUGGCAUUGCCAUUGUCCCCACGUUCCAGAUGAGAAGACAGAGGCCCAGAGGGAUGAGACCGCCAUUGCGAGGCUACACAGCUGCCUCCCUGCCACGGUUGGUGUGAAGAUGGUGUGAGGCACGCAGGCAGGAGUGGAGUUCCUGAAGCAGGCCUGGCAGAGGAUGUGCUUGGAAAUCACACAUCUUCUUUCUUCUCCUGAAGGAAAGGAUCCUCACAUUUCAGAGUGGGAAGGAGCCUCUCUGCUCACGCCACCCAGCGCCUCUGUGAUUUCACAGCCUUCAAGCACAUUCUCCUGAGAAGAUAAUGGGAAAGACGAUGAAAAGCAAAGCCAGUGAAGUGGCUGCCUGGAAGGCAACAGGCUGCUGCUUAGCAAGUGUGGUGAAAGGAUGGGCUGAACAGGAGGCAUUAAGGACAUCUGAGGAUACCUCUUAUCUCCAUGUGGCCAGGCCUGACCAGGAUAAUGAAAACCCACUGGACUCCACCCAGGAGUCAAAUCCAGUCUCACAAUUUAGAGCUCGGGGAUCACAGUUUGAGUCACCUGUGAUCUAAGAACCUCACUUCCAGAUGGGAAACACCUAAGAGUGUCAAGAAGGCAUGAAUGUGAGGACCCACGUAAAGCAUCCUGCACGGUGGCUGGCACAUAGUAGGCACUCAAUAAAUGUCAGUUAAUUUGCUUGUCAUUUCUUGUCCUUCCAACCUCACCGAUAUUUAUUCAUCAAGUAUUUAUUGAGCACUUACUAUGUAUGGGGUGCUAUUCUGAGUCCUGGUGACCUGUCAGUCAACAUGCUAGGUGCCUGCUCUCAUGGACUUGACGUUUUACCAGAGAAAUCAGAAGAAAAGAAGUAAAUAAUCAAGAAAAUGGUAGCUAUCGGUAAGUGCCAGAAAAGAACAUUGAGCUUUAUUUUGAUAGGGAGUGGAAGGUGAUACCUCCUAUUUAGAUAAGAGAGUUGGGGUGGGCCCUUCUGAGGAGAUAACAAUGAGCAGAGGCCUCGAUGAGGAUCUGGAGGGGAGAGCAUUCUAGGCAGAGGGAACAGCCAGUGCAAAGGUCCUGAGGUGGGUACCAAUUUGGUGCCCUGAAAAGGAGGCCAGUAUGACACGUGUAGGCAGCAAGAGGUGGGAGAGGUGGGCAGGGACCCGAACAGGUAAGACCUCCUGGGCCCCGGUGAGACACAUACAUAUAUUUACCUUCUCCCAGUCUUGACGGCCCUUCAGUUCUUGGAAACUUCUACUUUUCAGAGCCUGUUGUUAGGCUGUAAAAUCAGUUCACCCUGGAGGUUGGGGUGGGGGCCUUUAAUCUUAGUAAUGAACCUCUGCCCUAGGUGCUGACCUUAAAAUUCAGAACAAGAAAGGUCCUUGGAGAUAGUUUACAAGUUGGAAACUUUCAUUGCUCCAGGGGAUCAACUGAAGCCCAGAGGCAGAAAAUGACUUGCCUAAGGUCAUACUAUAAGUUACAGAUGCUACCAGUUAGGAUUAUAUACCUCUACAAGUGACAAGAAAACCCCCAAAUUGGUAGCUUAAAAAGCUCAUUUCUCUCUCCAGUAAACAGAGAGGUAGGCACUCUAGGCUGGUACAGCAGCUCCACGAUCAUCAGGGACCUAGGGUGCUCCUAAUUUGCUUUACCAUUUUCAACCGUAACUUCCACCUCAUGACCCAAGGUGGCUGCCCCAGGUGCAGUGAUCAUGUCUGCAUUCCAGAGAAACACAAGAGUUGAAAAAGAACAUACCCUGCCCCAAAAAGACAUGUCCUCGGUGUUGUGAUUAUAUUGCAUUGGCCAGAACUCGGUCAUGUGCCCACACCUACCUGCAAAGGAGGCAGGAAAUGUAGUCUUUCCACGGGACAGCUAUGUGCCCAGCCCCGAGUUCGGGCUGCCACUCAUCAGGAAGAAGGGGAGAAGAGAUAGUGAGGCCAGCGGGCCAGCUCUGCGACAGUGCCACAGGUGAGACUGGAAUCCACGUGUCCUGACACCCUGGUGUUCUCCGCACUGCACUUUGCCCCAGGCAGCCCCCACCAUGAUGAGCACAUAGCAGCCAGAUAUAGGGGAACCUCUGUGGACGGUGGCCUGGAGGAAGUAGGGGAAGGGGAGGGCCAGCAGGGGAGGAGCCAUGGCAGAGGGAGC
rnacentral:lncRNA from 1 species